rnacentral:rRNA from 1 species
UACGGAGGGUGCAAACGUUGCUCGGAAUCAUUGGGCGUAAAGCGCACGUAGGCGGCCUGAUAAGUCGGGUGUGAAAGCCCUGGGCUCAACCCAGGAAGUGCACUCGAAACUGUCAGGCUUGAAUAUGGAAGAGGGUCGCGGAAUUCCCGGUGUAGAGGUGAAAUUCGUAGAUAUCGGGAGGAACACCGAGUGGCGAAGGCGGCGACCUGGCCAUGUAUUGACGCUGAGAUACGAAAGCGUGGGGAGCAAACAGG